GAUGAACGCUGGCGGCGUGCCUAGUACAUGCAAGUCGAGCGAACGGACGAGAAGCUUGCCUCUCUGAUGUUAGCGGCGGACGGGUGAGUAACACGUGGAUAACCUACCUAUAAGACUGGGAUAACUUCGGGAAACCGUAGCUAAUACCGGAUAAUAUUUUGAACCGCAUGGUUCAAAAUUGAAAGACGGUCUUGCUGUCACUUAUAGAUGGAUCCGCGCUGCAUUAUCUAGUUGGUAAGGUAACGGCAUACCAAGGCAACGAUGCAUAGCCGACCUGAGAGGGUGAUCCGCCACACUGGAACUGAGACACGGUCCAGACUCCUACGGGAGGCAGCAGUAGGGAAUCUUCCGCAAUGGGCGAAAGCCUGACGGAGCAACGCCGCGUGAGUGAUGCAGGUCUUCGGAUCGUAAAACUCUGUUAUUAGGGAAGAACAUAUGUGUAAGUAACUGUGCACAUCUUGACGGUACCUAAUCAGAAAGCCACGGCUAACUACGUG
rnacentral:rRNA from 1 species